ensembl:rRNA 5S_rRNA 5S ribosomal RNA
AUCUAUGGCCAUAACACCCUGAACACAGCAGAAAUUGCCAGAUCUCAGGAGCUCAUCAGGGUCAAACAUGGUUAGUCCUCAGAUGGGGAACUCCCAGGGAAUACCAGGUGCUGUAGGCU